ACUGCUCAGUAACACGUGGAUAACCUGCCCUAAGGAAGGGGAUAACCUCGGGAAACUGAGGAUAAUACCCUAUAGGUUACAGACGCUGGAAUGCCCUGUAACCGAAAGUUCCGGCGCCUUAGGAUGGAUCUGCGGCCGAUUAGGUUGUUGUUGGGGUAACGGCCCAACAAGCCGAUAAUCGGUACGGGUUGUGGGAGCAAGAGCCCGGAGUUGGAUUCUGAGACAUGAAUCCAGGCCCUACGGGGCGCAGCAGGCGCGAAAACUUUACAAUGCGGGAAACCGUGAUAAGGGAACCCCGAGUGCCUGUAUAUGCAGGCUGUCCAGGUGUCUAAAAAACACCUGAAGAAAGGGCCGGGCAAGACCGGUGCCAGCCGCCGCGGUAAUACCGGCGGCUCGAGUGGUGGCCACUUUUAUUGGGCUUAAAGCGUUCGUAGCUGGGUUGUUAAGUCUCUUGGGAAAUCUGACGGCUCAACCGUCAGGCGUCCAAGGGAUACUGGCAAUCUUGGAACCGGGAGAGGUGAGGGGUACUUCGGGGGUAGGAGUGAAAUCCUGUAAUCCUCGAGGGACCACCUGUGGCGAAGGCGCCUCACCAGAACGGCUUCGACAGUGAGGGACGAAAGCUGGGGGAGCAAACCGGAUUAGAUACCCGGGUAGUCCCAGCCGUAAACGAUGCGCGUUAAGUGUAUCGGUGACCACGAGUCACCGAGGUGCCGAAGGGAAACCGUGAAACGUGCCGCCUGGGAAGUACGGUCGCAAGGCUGAAACUUAAAGGAAUUGGCGGGGGAGCAC
rnacentral:rRNA from 1 species